rnacentral:rRNA from 1 species
AGAGUUUGAUCCUGGCUCAGGAUGAACGCUAGCGACAGGCUUAACACAUGCAAGUCGAGGGGCAGCGGGGGCGAAGCUUGCUUCGCCUGCCGGCGACCGGCGCACGGGUGAGUAACACGUAUGCGACCUGCCCCCCGCAGGGGGAUAACCGGGAGAAAUCCCGACUAAUACCGCGUAACGCCGCUGGGCUGCAUGGCCCGGCGGCCAAAGGAAGCGAUUCCGGCGGGGGAUGGGCAUGCGGCGCAUUAGCUAGUCGGCGGGGUAACGGCCCACCGAGGCGACGAUGCGUAGGGGUUCUGAGAGGAAGGUCCCCCACACUGGUACUGAGACACGGACCAGACUCCUACGGGAGGCAGCAGUGAGGAAUAUUGGUCAAUGGGCGGGAACCUGAACCAGCCAAGUCGCGUGAGGGAAGACGGUCCUACGGAUUGUAAACCUCUUUUGCCGGGGAGCAACGGGGUCCUUGCGAGGGCCCGAUGAGAGUACCCGGAGAAAAAGCAUCGGCUAACUCCGUGCCAGCAGCCGCGGUAAUACGGAGGAUGCGAGCGUUAUCCGGAUUUAUUGGGUUUAAAGGGUGCGUAGGCGGGCUGUUAAGUCAGCGGUCAAAUGUCGGGGCUCAACCCCGGCCUGCCGUUGAAACUGGCGGCCUCGAGUGGGCGAGAAGUAUGCGGAAUGCGUGGUGUAGCGGUGAAAUGCAUAGAUAUCACGCAGAACUCCGAUUGCGAAGGCAGCAUACCGGCGCCCGACUGACGCUGAGGCACGAAAGCGUGGGUAUCGAACAGGAUUAGAUACCCUGGUAGUCCACGCAGUAAACGAUGAAUGCUAGCUGUCCGGUUCUACGGGACUGGGUGGCACAGCGAAAGCGUUAAGCAUUCCACCUGGGGAGUACGCCGGCAACGGUGAAACUCAAAGGAAUUGACGGGGGCCCGCACAAGCGGAGGAACAUGUGGUUUAAUUCGAUGAUACGCGAGGAACCUUACCCGGGCUCAAACGCCAAAGGACAGCCGUUGAAAGGCGGCCUCCCUCCGGGGUCUUUGGCGAGGUGCUGCAUGGUUGUCGUCAGCUCGUGCCGUGAGGUGUCGGCUUAAGUGCCAUAACGAGCGCAACCCCCAUCGACAGUUGCUAACGGGUAGAGCCGAGGACUCUGUCGAGACUGCCGGCGCAAGCUGCGAGGAAGGCGGGGAUGACGUCAAAUCAGCACGGCCCUUACGUCCGGGGCGACACACGUGUUACAAUGGCCGGUACAGCGGGAUGCCAGGGCGCGAGCCCGAGCGGAACCCGAAAACCGGUCUCAGUUCGGAUUGGAGUCUGCAACCCGACUCCAUGAAGCUGGAUUCGCUAGUAAUCGCGCAUCAGCCACGGCGCGGUGAAUACGUUCCCGGGCCUUGUACAAAGCGCCCGUCA